rnacentral:rRNA from 1 species
GAUGAACGCUAGCGGCAGGCCUAAUACAUGCAAGUCGAACGGUGUCUUCGGACAUAGUGGCGCACGGGUGCGUAACACGUAUGCAACCUACCUUACAUUGGGGGAUAGCCUUUCGAAAGGGAGAUUAAUACCGCAUAAGACAGUAGCUGGGCAUCCAGCAGCUGUUAAAGAUUUAUCGAUGUAAGCUGGGCAUGCGUCCAAUUAGCUAGUUGGUGAGGUAACGGGUCACCAAGGCAAUGAUUGGUAGGGGAACUGAGAGGUCAAUCCCCCACACUGGCACUGAGAUACGGGCCAGACUCCUACGGGAGGCAGCAGUAGGGAAUAUUGGGCAAUGGACGCAAGUCUGACCCAGCCAUGCCGCGUGCAGGAUGAAGGCGUUAUGCGUUGUAAACUGCUUUUAUACAGGAAGAAACGACUCUUGCGAGAGGCAUUGACGGUACUGUAUGAAUAAGCACCGGCUAACUUCGUGCCAGCAGCCGCCGUAAGAC